GCUGAAAAACCAAAACAAAACUCUGAUUAUCUCCCUUUACACGAGAACCGGAAGUUUCUCAAGUGACACUGAAAACUGUAUCCUAAAAGCACUGCCCCCCCCCUCUGUGUCCCUUUUGCACCAGGAAACGACCCCCUCCUCUUCCACAAAUUUUUGCUAUUUUACUCAGUAUACAAACAUUUUGACCCCUGAACGUAACCUACCCCACAGAUGUGAUCCAGUCCGCCACAACAAACUCUUGAAAAAAGAAAAUACUCAAGAAAUCACACACCACAGAUGUGGUACUGUCCCCCGCCACCCCACAAACAAUUGAUCUGAUUCCCUCCACCCGCCAUGACUACCACUCCACUGACCCCCAACCCAAAUCUUCCCCUCCUAUCAAAUUUUACCUCCAAUUUGUAACUUAUAUAAAUAAAAAACUUCCCAAACAACUAGUCAUAUCAUAA